UACGUAGGGAGCAGGCGUUGUCCGGAAUUACUGGGUGUAAAGGGAGCGUAGACGGCUGUGCAAGUCUGGAGUGAAAGGCGGGGGCCCAACCCCCGGACUGCUCUGGAAACUGUAUGGCUGGAGUGCAGGAGAGGUAAGCGGAAUUCCUAGUGUAGCGGUGAAAUGCGUAGAUAUUAGGAGGAACACCAGUGGCGAAGGCGGCUUACUGGACUGUAACUGACGUUGAGGCUCGAAAGCGUGAGGAGCGAACA
rnacentral:rRNA from 1 species